AUACCUUUCUCGGCCUUUUGGGUGAGAUAAAGUGUAAUAUUUGUUCUUAUCAGUUUAAUAUCUGAUGUGGACCAUAUGUUCACUUUGAUAUUAAAUUUAUUUUUAUGGGUGUUAAAUAUGAGUGUGUGUGCGACGGGCAUUGACUAUAUACAAUAUUAAUGUUCGCUCCGAAGUGAACUACAGCAAACUUGAAGUAUCUUUCC
rfam:Zea mays cultivar B73 chromosome 5, whole genome shotgun sequence.